UACGGGGGGAGCAAGCGUUGUUCGGAUUUACUGGGCGUAAAGGGCGCGUAGGCGGCCACUGCAAGUCAGUUGUGAAAUCUCCGGGCUUAACCCGGAAAGGUCAACUGAUACUGCAGGGCUAGAGUGCAGAAGGGGCAACUGGAAUUCUCGGUGUAGCGGUGAAAUGCGUAGAUAUCGAGAGGAACACCUGCGGCGAAGGCGGGUUGCUGGGCUGACACUGACGCUGAGGCGCGAAAGCGUGGGGAGCGAACAGG
rnacentral:rRNA from 1 species